rnacentral:rRNA from 1 species
AGAAUCAACGCUGGCGGCGUGCCUAACACAUGCAAGUCGAACGAGAAAGUGGAGCAAUCCAUUAGUAAAGUGGCGCACGGGUGAGUAACACGUGACUAACCUACCCUUGAGUGGGGGAUAACCUAGAGAAAUCUGGGCUAAUACCGCAUAAUACCUCCGGGUCAAAGGAGCAAUUCGCUUAAGGAGGGGGUCGCGGCCGAUUAGUUAGUUGGCGGGGUAAUGGCCCACCAAGACUAUGAUCGGUAUCCGGCCUGAGAGGGCGCACGGACACACUGGAACUGAAACACGGUCCAGACUCCUACGGGAGGCAGCAGUGGGAAUUUGCGCAAUGGGGGAAACCCUGACGCAGCAACGCCGCGUGGAGGAUGAAGCCCCUUGGGGCGUAAACUCCUUUCGAUCGGGACGAUAAUGACGGUACCGAGAGAAGAAGCCCGGCUAACUUCGCGCCAGCAGCCGC